AACCUAUUAGCUUAAAUGGAAGAGCAUUGUGUCAUGCACAAGAUGUGGGUUCGAUUCCCAUAUAGAUUA
rfam:Beta vulgaris subsp. vulgaris chromosome 9, whole genome shotgun sequence.